rnacentral:siRNA from 1 species
AAACAGUGUUUAGUGUCUCUGGUA